rnacentral:rRNA from 1 species
CGGCUACCACAUCCAAGGAAGGCAGCAGGCACGCAAAUUACCCACUCCCGGCACGGGGAGGUAGUGACAAAAAAUAACGAUACGGGACUCAUCCGAGGCCCCGUAAUCGGAAUGAGUACACUUUAAAUCCUUUAACAAGGAUCCAUUGGAGGGCAAGUCUGGUGCCAGCAGCCGCGGUAAUUCCAGCUCCAAUAGCGUAUAUUAAAGUUGUUGCGGUUAAAAAGCUCGUAGUUGGUUCUGUGUGCCACGCUGUCGGUUCACCGCCUGCGGUGCAACUGGCAUGUCGUGGGAUGUCCUGUCGGUGGCGGCCGUGCGCUUUGGCGGGGCGUAGGCCUCUUGAGACCAAAACCCCGCCGCUGCUCGUGCGGUCGCCUAUCCCAUCCUGCUCCGGUGCUUUUAAUCGAGUGUCGAGGCAGGCCGACAAGUUUACUUUGAACAAAUUAGAGUGCUCAAAGCAGGCAGAAUUCCGCCUGAAUACUGGUGCAUGGAAUAAUAGAAUAGGACCUUGGUUCUAUUUUGUUGGUUUUUCGGAAUCCAAGGUAAUGAUCAAUACGGACAGGCGGGGGCAUUCGUAUUGCGGCGUUAGA